rnacentral:antisense_RNA from 3 species
UUCUAUGGCGGGCGGUGCGUGGGGGCCGCAAGGCCCGCCGGUUCCGUGUAUCCGGUACGCCAACCCGCACCGUCCGCCACCCCG